rnacentral:rRNA from 1 species
AUACGGAGGGUGCAAGCGUUGUCCGGAUUUAUUGGGUUUAAAGGGUGUGUAGGCGGUGUAUUAAGUCAGUGGUGAAAGCCUGCGGCUCAACCGUAGAACUGCCAUUGAUAUUGACAUACUUGAGUAUGGACGAGGUAGGCGGAAUUUAUGGUGUAGCGGUGAAAUGCAUAGAUACCAUAAAGAACACCGAUAGCGAAGGCAGCUUACUAGGCCAUAACUGAUGCUGAGGCACGAAAGCGUGGGGAGCGAACAGGAUUAGAAACCCCAGUAGUCC